AUGUGCAGUAUUUGUGAAGGGGCAGUUGCUCCUUGGAAUAAUGUGCUUGUCCCUUGGGUUAAAGGAUCUUCUGGUAGCCACUUUCAUUGCUUGUGGCUACUCAGCCACAGUUGCCAUGGAGUAGUGGAGGGUGAAUACCCAGGACUGAAGAACACAGAAUCCUCUACAGCUGGAAGAUGCAGUGGAGAGACCUUUCAGCCCCCAGAAGCAGGUAAAGGAGAAAGGGAGAGCCAGGGGAAAUUCACGGCAGGAGUAAGAGACGAGGGUUCCCUUGCUCCCACUAUAUUAUUAAAACUCAAAAACUGAAGGGCAUGGAGACAUGUACAUAGGCUUUGGGAAAUGCUAGACAUACCUCACGGCGAGUGACAAGAUGCGGAGUGAAACUGUUUCUUGGGAGCUACCAAAUUGGCACCAGCAGUAGAUUAGAAAAAGCCAGGGAACGUGAACUAGAAGACAGCUCCACUGAGCUCUGAGAGUGAGAAAGCAGCUGAGGGUUUCACUUGGGAAGGAAGGAGGACUGAAUCAGAGCGCCUGGGGUCAAGUGUGGAGAUGGUGCAUCCAAGUACCUCCUGGCUAUAUCUUCAGCAGUAGAGGCCAGCACCUGGUCCAAAGAGCCAAUCAGCACCAGCCAAAUCCUAAUGUCAUCACAGCCAAGGACCAACCACACAGCACAGUGCAACAGGAUGAAGUAACAUUGCAUGGGGAAGAAUGUAAACACCGACAGUCCCACCCACCACUGGGAAACGUAGGAAUCUCCCUUCACACAGAUAGCAGCUUGAGGAAGAAGGGGGAGACUUGUCUCUUUAGAGUAAAGGAAUUCAGCUCACUAAGGAUGACGAUUUACAUUUUGGAUGCGCUGAGUAUUUACCCAAUAGGAAGUUAACCUAAAUAGAUUUUGAAACAAGCAACAACAAAAAAACUACAAAGUUUAUCAUCACUAUCAAGUUCAAUAUUUCCCUCCACUAUCUGUGGGAAUGAGAUCUGAUCAAAAUAUGAUCUAUUUAGAAAUAGAGAAGGCAAAUUUAUAUUUUGCAUAUCUGAUAUAAGUUUAAACAUUCAAACCUAUAUAUUUAUAUAUAGGUAUGUAUUAUAUAUAUAUAACAUAUAUAUAUAUUUAUAGUAAAGUAUCAGUCAGGUCAGCUUAGGUUAGGUUACAGUAACAACACCCCCAGAUCUGAGUGCCUUACAACAGCAGAGGUUAGGAGCUGGCACAUGGAUUAAGACACUGCAUGGUAUGCUCAAAUCCCCUAUCAGAGUGCCUGGGUUCGAGUCCUGGCUCUAUUCUCAUUUCCAGUGCUCUGUUAAU
rnacentral:lncRNA from 1 species